UGGCUUCUUUACCUACUGGACUGUGUUGAACACUCCUGACCACGCACCUACCUUUUCCUCAUGCCUUGCCACGCUGUUUGUUUGACAACGCCACUCCAAAGUUCAACGCCAGGUUGCACUUGUCAGCCGCUCUUUCCAUCCCUCCGCUUCGACAGCCAUGGAAAGGUGAAGGUGGUGCUGGGGAGUCACACAGGAAGCCCCGUGUUGGACACUUCCUGUCGGCGCCAGGAACAAUGACUUGUCCCAGGCCGUGACCUAGCCGCCGCGGCCAUAAAUCAUCCACCUUGAAAACGGAGCAGGUGGUGACGGAUUAACAAGGUAACGGCGCCGGCGUGGUCAAACGGUGCAAACCAAGUUUUUUUAAAUAGCUGUUGUGCAUACUCAAUGUUUAGCACGCACGCGUCUAUACCAACUUUUUGCUACUGGCACUGUUAUGUAUUUUGAUGUUUUUCUAAACCAAGGGCACCGCAAAAAAAGGCAUUUUUGUCUUAAUUUGGAUAUAAAAUGUUAGUGUACGUGAAACAUAUGUUUACUAUUGUCAUUUAGUCCUUCAAUAAAAUGUUGAACUUUGAACAA